UGGUGGUAGUAGUAGUAGUAGUAGUAGUAGAAAAAGUGGUUUCAUCACAUCAUGGGUUACUGUUAAUGUCUAAGUCCACCAAAGACAGUCGUUAUGUCCGCCCUCUUAUCAUUUGUGAUUACUAUGGCUGUUGCCGUUGUUGUUUUUCUUGUCGUUGUUGUUAUUGAUAUGGUUGGUGUUACUGGCACUCCGCUGAAGGUUCCUGGUUCAAAUACUACCCAAGGAUAUUCCACUUUAAUUAGCAAAGAGGAAGUGCUCAGGGCUGAAACUGGACAUAAUGGAAUAGACAUUGAUCAUUAUCUUGCUUUGCAGGAGUAUUCAGGGUUCAUGAAGGAAAUCAACAGCAGCUACCCAAAUGCAGAAGUGAUGAUUUAUGGUAAAUCUUAUGAAGGCAGGGACCUCAUGGCUGUGAAGUUUUACCGAAAUUCAUGUAACCCAACAAUCUUUGUCGAAGCUGGAAUUCAUGCAAGAGAAUGGAUAGCUUCAGCAGUAACCUUCAAGAUCAUUAAUACUAUUGCUAGAAACAGCAGCCAAGAUGAAGAAAUGUCAAAACUACUGGACUUAUACAACUGGGUGUUUGUGCCACUGGUCAACCCUGAUGGAUAUGACUUUUCACGUCACGAGAACCGAUAUUGGAGGAAGAAUAAACGCGUUGUUACCAAAAAUUGCACUGGUGUAGACCUCAACAGGAACUUUGACAUAAACUGGGGAACCGUUGAUGCAAGUGAUGAUCCAUGCUCAGACAUUUACUGUGGGAAAGCACCGUUUUCUGAGCCAGAGACUCAAUCCUUGAAAACGUUCAUACAAGCGUCAUGGCCUUUGAUAGGUUACAUUUCCCUGCAUGCAUAUGCACAGCUGAUUAUUUGCCCUUAUUCAUACACAAAAGCGACUCCAGAAGAUUUUGAAGAACUGGCCAAACUUGCUGAGAAUGUGACAAGGGCCAUAUAUAACACAACAGGGGAACAGUACUUAGUGGGAGAAGGAUCUCGUGCAUUGUAUGAAGCCAGUGGGUGUUCAACGGAUUGGGUCAAGAAAGUACUUGGCGUUAAAUACUCGUAUGCCAUUGAAAUGCGGCCCACUGACAAUGACACGAGGGGCUUCAGCCUUCCAGCCAGUGAGAUAGAGCCGACAUCCAGGGACAUCUUCGUAGCUUUAAAGACAUUCGCAAAUGGCUUUAAGAGAAAUAUUUCUUAUCUAAGGGACAGUUUGAAGAACUGCAACAACACAGAAGAAGCACAGAAGGAAACAGGCAGAGGAUAGACUUAAAAGACAGGAGAGGCGUGGAGACAGCAGGAACUAGACACAUACUAUAUGCAUCAUGGGUACGGACGUGGAGAAAAUGAUUGCAGCCAAGUUGAAAAACAGAUGUCAUGGACAGAUAAACGGAAUCCGACAGGAAUGAAAA